rnacentral:piRNA from 1 species
UUCGAGCUGAUCAGUCCGAAUGAGGUAAGA